rfam:Myotis davidii contig83998, whole genome shotgun sequence.
GGUGGUUCUUGGGUGACACACCCUGGAAUCGGGCUCCGUCCUCUCUGGUUCCAAGUGUAUCACCUGAGAACCGCC